rnacentral:rRNA from 1 species
AUUGAACGCUGGCGGCAUGCCUUACACAUGCAAGUCGAACGGCAGCACGGGUGCUUGCACCUGGUGGCGAGUGGCGAACGGGUGAGUAAUACAUCGGAACGUACCUUAUCGUGGGGGAUAACGCAGCGAAAGCUGUGCUAAUACCGCAUACGCCCUGAGGGGGAAAGCGGGGGAUCGCAAGACCUCGCGCGAUUAGAGCGGCCGAUGCCUGAUUAGCUUGUUGGUGGGGUAAAAGCCCACCAAGGCGACGAUCAGUAGCUGGUCUGAGAGGACGAGCAGACACACGGGGACUGAGAAACGGCCCCAGCUCCUACGGGAGGCAGCAGUGGGGAAUUUUGGACAAUGGGGGCAACCCUGAUCCAGCAAUGCCGCGUGGGUGAAGAAGGCCUUCGGGUUGUAAACCGCUUUUGUCAGGGAAGAAAAGACUCCUACUAAUACUGGGGGUUCAUGACGGUACCUGAAGAAUAAGCACCGGCUAACUACGUGCCAGCAGCCGCCGUAA